rnacentral:rRNA from 1 species
CCUACGGGGGGCAGCAGUGGGGAAUAUUGGACAAUGGGGGCAACCCUGAUCCAGCCAUGCCGCGUGUGUGAAGAAAGCCCUCGGGUUGUAAAGCACUUUCAGUGAGGAAGAACGCCUGGUGGUUAAUACCCAUCAGGAAAGACAUCACUCACAGAAGAAGCACCGGCUAACUCCGUGCCAGCAGCCGCGGUAAUACGGAGGGUGCGAGCGUUAAUCGGAAUUACUGGGCGUAAAGCGCGCGUAGGUGGCUUGAUAAGCCGGUUGUGAAAGCCCCGGGCUCAACCUGGGAACGGCAUCCGGAACUGUCAAGCUAGAGUGCAGGAGAGGAAGGUAGAAUUCCCGGUGUAGCGGUGAAAUGCGUAGAGAUCGGGAGGAAUACCAGUGGCGAAGGCGGCCUUCUGGACUGACACUGACACUGAGGUGCGAAAGCGUGGGUAGCAAACAGGAUUAGAUACCCUUGUAGUC